rnacentral:piRNA from 1 species
UUCUGAGAGGGGUUUACCAGG